rnacentral:tRNA from 1 species
UGCCUUGUAAUUGAAUCUACAAUAUCGUCCUGCAAAGACGAAGGUGCUAAAUAAUAGUUAGCUAAGGCAA